rnacentral:ncRNA from 1 species
AUCGCGAGGUUCCGACUGAAGGAAGCCCGAGGCAAACCAUUGACCUUACGAACAGGAACGGUCUCAGGCAUAAGCUGUCGGGUAAGACUGCAUAACAAGUUGAAGCCCUAAGGCCACACGGAGACGGCAAUGUAUAGACCGAAGGUACAUGAUGGGAAAGAGU